ACGAACGCUGGCGGCGUGCUUCACACAUGCAAGUCGAGCGACGCUCUUCCUUCGGGGAGAUGACGGAGCGGCGAACGGGUGAGUAACACGUGGGCAACCUGCCCCUAGCUCUGGGACAACACCGGGAAACCGGUGCUAAUACCGGAUACGACAUCGAGCGGCAUCUCUCGAUGUGGAAAGUUUUUUCGGCUAGGGAUGGGCCCGCGGCCUAUCAGCUUGUUGGUGGGGUAAUGGCCCACCAAGGCGACGACGGGUAGCCGGCCUGAGAGGGCGACCGGCCACACUGGGACUGAGACACGGCCCAGACUCCUACGGGAGGCAGCAGUGGGGAAUAUUGCGCAAUGGGCGAAAGCCUGACGCAGCGACGCCGCGUGAGGGAUGACGGCCUUCGGGUUGUAAACCUCUUUCAGCAGGGACGAAUUCAGACGGUACCUGCAGAAGAAGCACCGGCCAACUACGUG
rnacentral:rRNA from 1 species